rnacentral:rRNA from 1 species
CCUACGGGAGGCAGCAGUGAGGAAUAUUGGUCAAUGGACGAGAGUCUGAACCAGCCAAGUAGCGUGAAGGAUGACUGCCCUAUGGGUUGUAAACUUCUUUUAUAUGGGAAUAAAAUGUUCCACGUGUGGGAUUUUGUAUGUACCAUAUGAAUAAUGAUCGGCUAACUCCGUGCCAGCAGCCGCGGUAAUACGGAGGAUCCGAGCGUUAUCCGGAUUUAUUGGGUUUAAAGGGAGCGUAGGUGGAUUGUUAAGUCAGUUGUGAAAGUUUGCGGCUCAACCGUAAAAUUGCAGUUGAAACUGGCAGUCUUGAGUACAGUAGAGGUGAGCGGAAUUCGUGGUGUAGCGGUGAAAUGCUUAGAUAUCACGAAGAACUCCGAUUGCGAAGGCAGUUCACUGGACUGCAACUGACACUGAGGCUCGAAAGUGUGGGUAUCAAACAGGAUUAGAUACCCGGGUAGUC